AAACUUUCAACAAUGGAUCUCUUGGUUCCGGCAUCGAUGAAGAACGCAGCGAAAUGCGAUAAGUAAUGUGAAUUGCAGAAUUCCGUGAAUCAUCGAAUCUUUGAACGCACAUUGCGCCCCCUGGUAUUCCGGGGGGCA
rnacentral:rRNA from 1 species